GGGAGGGUAGCCGAGCGGCCCAAGGGGCUACGUUAGGGUUGUCAAACUCUUGGUCACGAUUCUUUGUGUAUAAGGAUUCCGUAGUCUCGAAAGGGGCGCGAGUUCGAACCUCACCCCUCACA